GUAGGGAUGGUGUAACGGUAACAUUUCGGUCUCCAAAACCGACGAUCUAGGUUCAAAUCCUAGUCUCUGCG
rnacentral:tRNA from 1 species